ACCUGGCUGGCUCAGUCCGUAGAGCAUGAGACUCUUGAUCUCAGUGUCAUAAGUUCGAGCCCCAUGUUGGGCG
rnacentral:tRNA from 1 species